UACGUAGGGGGGCGAGCGUUUGUCCGGAUUUACUGGGCGUAAAGAGCGCGUAGGCGGAAAUUUUAAGCGUGGCCUGAAAGCCCCCCGGCUCAACUGGGGAGGGUCACGCGAUACUGAUCGACUCGAAGGCAGGAGAGGGUAGUGGAAUUCCCGGUGUAGUGGUGAAAUGCGUAGAUAUCGGGAGGAACACCAGUGGCGAAGGCGACUACCUGGCCUGUUCUUGACGCUGAGGCGCGAAAGCUAGGGGAGCAAACGGG
rnacentral:rRNA from 1 species